GCAUUGGAAGAUAAAAACCCAAAAACCCAAUAUCUUGCUCACACCAUGUGUUGAUGCACUUUGAAUAAAAACCCAAAAUCUUGUUGUGUCAAGUCAUGUGGAAUGGAGUCCCACAUUCUGGACUCCCACACCUUCUAUUGAUUCAAGCUCACCCAGACCCGGGUUAAGAGCUAUGAGGCAUAACCCUCAUCUCCAUUUCAUCUGCUC
rnacentral:lncRNA from 1 species